GACGAACGCUGGCGGCGUGCCUAAUACAUGCAAGUCGAGCGAAGAGUCUCUGGUGCUUGCACUCGAACAACUUAGCGGCGAACGGGUGAGUAACACGUAAAGAACCCGUCUCAUAGACUGGGACAACUAUUGGAAACGAUAGCUAAUACCGGAUAAUAGUAUUUCUCGUAUGUGAGUUGUUUAAAACUUGGUUAUGCUAACACUUAGAGGUGGCUUUGCGGUGCAUUAGCUAGUUGGUGGGGUAAAGGCCCACCAAGGCGACGAUGCAUAGCCGACCUGAGAGGGUGAUCGGCCACACUGGGACUGAGACACGGCCCAGACUCCUACGGGAGGCAGCAGUAGGGAAUCUUCCGCAAUGGGCGAAAGCCUGACGGAGCAACGCCGCGUGAGUGAAGAAGGAUUUCGGUUCGUAAAGCUCUGUUGUUAGGGAAGAAUGGAUGUGUAGUAACUAUACAUGUAAGUGACGGUACCUAAUCAGAAAGCCACGGCUAACUACGUG
rnacentral:rRNA from 1 species